GACGAACGCUGGCGGCGUGCCUAAUACAUGCAAGUCGAGCGGACCGAAGGGAGCUUGCUCUUUUAGGUUAGCGGCGGACGGGUGAGUAACACGUGGGCAACCUGCCCUGCAGACUGGGAUAACUUCGGGAAACCGGAGCUAAUACCGGAUAACACCGAAAACCGCAUGGUUUUCGGUUGAAAGGCGGCUUUUAGCUGUCACUGCAGGAUGGGCCCGCGGCGCAUUAGGUAGUUGGUGAGGUAAAGGCUCACCAAGCCGACGAUCUUUAGCUGGUCUGAGAGGAUGAUCAGCCACACUGGGACUGAGACACGGCCCAG
rnacentral:rRNA from 1 species